AGUAAAGUUCCAGCUUAUCCUGACAGUGUAAUAGAUCAGUAGAUGUGAGAGCAUAGGCUGCAUAAAGAUCAGUGUUGAAACCGUAGGACAGUGAAUUUGUGGUUCCUUGUCAAUUAUCAUUUGGCCAGUUCUACUGAGAGCAAGUCAUUAUACACCACUAAUUUUUUGGAUGGUGUCACUGUUGCCUCCUAGUUAAUUUGAUCAAUUCAAGAAUCUUUCAAUAUCUUUAUACUCAGCUAUCUAUGUUAAUAAUGAGGCCAAUUAACAAGCUCCACCUACAUUAAUUUAAGGUAAAAUUAUGUUUAAUUAAUCAUUCUUGAUUACGUAGUUAUUGAUG